rnacentral:ribozyme from 20 species
GCUGCUCAUAUAUGCUACCUCUCCGUGGUGAGCAGUAGGCAACGGAUCUCUAUCCGGCUAAAGCAUGU